CCCAGUUCGGAUUGUAGUCUGCAACCCGGCUACAUGAAGCUGGAAUCGCUAGUAAUCGCGGAUCAGAAUGCCGCGGUGAAUACGUUCCCGGGCCUUGUACACACCGCCCGUCACACCAUGAGAGUCGAUAACACCCGAAGCCUGUAGUCUAACCAUAAGGAGGACGCAGUCGAAGGUGGGAUUGAUAAUUAGGGUGAAGUCGUAACAAGGUACC
rnacentral:rRNA from 1 species